rnacentral:lncRNA from 1 species
AUGGCUAUUAUUGGAGAUGCUAAAGCUAUGGUUGCCUACACACCCCCACCUCCAGGGGUGGCUGCCGUUCACCCAGUGCCUCCUGCAUGUCAGAUCUGCUGGUCAGAAGCCUCUGGUGGGGCAGGACUCCGUUCUUUCCUGGAGUCUCGGGGGAGAAUCUCUUCCUUGCCCCUUCAGUUCCACCUGGCCAUAGGACUGAGAUCUACAUCUGUGUGCUGGCUGUCAGCUGGGGACCACUGUUACCUGCAGGAAACCUGUUUGGUCCUCGCACAUGUCCUCCUAAUUUUCAUGACCCCUGGAUCCUUAUCAUGCUGCCGUCUUUCUGGUUCUCAACAGCCAAGGCAAGUUCUUGGAUUGUAAUGACUCAUGGAAUUAGAUUUGUCCCACCUGGAAAAUCCAGAACAGUCUCCCCAUCGGAAAGGACUUAACCUUUAUCAUACCUGCAAAGUUCCUCUUGACAGGCAAAGUAGCAUAUUCACAGGCGUGGACAUCUUUGUUGUGGACGUUCAGUCACUCAUUCGUGUCCCACUCUUUGUGAUCGCAUGACUGCAGCACUCCAGGCUCCCCUGUCCUCCGCUGUUUCCCAGAGUUUUCUUAAAUUCAUGUCCACUGAGUCAGUGACGCUCCCUAACCAUCUCAUUCUCUGCCGCCAUGGAUUUCUUUGGGGGAGGGGGUCAUUAUUUUGCUUACCCCUGAAUACUAGCACCAGAGACUUUCUUCUUGAUAGAAUCAGAGAGGGAGGAAGGGAAGGAAGAAGGAACAGAGGGAGGCAGGGAGGGAGGGAAAGAGGGAGCUGUCUGCUGAGUCUAUAUAAUUUAUAAUCCUGUCUAUGGGCCACUUAAAAUAAUUCUGUGAAUGAAGCCUUGCUCGAUAAGUCUUGCCCUGCCAUGAUCACAGCUGAUAAGCUUUGGAAGUGCUCACAUAGCCAGUCUUGCCCUGGCCGUGUGAGUUUCCAUCUGAAAUAGGAAAGAAGCAAUGGAGUGUCUCAGAGAGAAUCCUCAAGAACUUUUCACUCAAGGCUCACAUUUUCUUUGCAGACUACCUAGAGAUAUCCCCGGCCCCCCACAAUGCUCUCCUGGCUCAGAGUUGAUUCCUUCUGGGUUCAAUUUCUAUUUGGUUGCAAAGGAGUCCCUUCCAGCACCCAGAAUGGCUGCAAUGUGUCAUUGCCCUGCACUACAUGGAGGCCUUAACAGCAGACCUGGGAAAGACUGAGCCAUGCUGCUGGGAGGCACUGGGUGGCUGGCUUCUUUCUCUAACAGGCCUGGUCUCUCGCCCUUUGCUAAUUACUUUGAUCCUUUGCACUUUGUAAAAAAGCCCCACAACACCAAUUGGUCCCCUCUGGCUUUAACCUUGCAACCCAGUUGGCCCUUGUAAAAGUGGGGGGUGGGGGCCGGAGGGAGGCCAGGCAGGGGCAGGCACAGGCUCCCCAGAUCUGCGCAGACUGCCUUGGGUCUGUUCCUUUAAUGAUCGCUUCCCAGGGCUCUCACAAAAAAAAAAAAAGAAAAAAGACAAAUAAAAGGCUUUUUACAAGAUGGCA